GUACUCAUAAUAAAAAUAUCCGAAAUAUUUGAUUUAUAACUUUAACAACAUUAAAAUUUACAAAAAUUGAACUAUAAAAUCAAUAAGUAUGUAGUAAUUAAACAUUUGUACGAAUGGGUUUUGUACAAGCGAUUUUUUAAUUAUAUCCUUAUAAUCAAUUUUUCUGCGUACAUUAGUCAAAUAAAUUAAGCCCGACUUCUUUACAGCUAAAUUUUCAUAAUAUAUAUCAAAUAUUAUGUCUCACUUCUUUAACAUACUGGUGAAAUUAAUUAUACAAACAAAUUAUAGAUUCAAUAACAAAUUCUACUGUUUGAAGUUUUUUAUUUGUACCCUUAUAGCAUUCCGAGACUUUGUUUCAAAAUCAAUCUAUUGUAUGGUAUAAAAAAAAAAAAUGGUCAAAUUAAUUUUUUUUUAAAUCAUUAAAUUACUCAAAAUUUGUCUGCCUUUCAAAAUUUGCCGCCUAGGGCUAUAACCCUGGUUAGCCCUAGAGUAAAUACGUCCCUAGGUCUUCCAAAUCUCAUGCUACAGACAAAUUUGGUAAUGAACCUGUGUAUACGACUAUACGAGUUUUACAUUAAAAUUAAUAUUUAGGUAUACCCUUACUAUUUGAAUUGUAAAGUAAAAAAACCCUAGGAUAAUGGAGACGAUAUAGCCACUGUUAUAGGUAAAGAGUUGGGAAGGUAGUAUAGAGAAAAUUGAAUGUAUACCUGUAAGCAACAAUAAACCAAUGCUAAAUAAAAUACAAUUCUGAGCGGAGUUCGGUUAAUAGUGUUG